rnacentral:miRNA from 1 species
UGAAAUCCAUGAGCCUAAACU